CUUCUGGGCGAGCAGGUGCGAGGCGCGCGCCAUGGAACGGCCCUUAGCUGAGUUUCGGUUUGCGCGCAAACUGCCUGCCUGGCGGCCCAACGCAGCGUUUCCAGCCGGGACGCACAAACCUCGGGAGAGAAGGUGGAAGCCGCAGCGACUCUAAAGGCAGCCCCCGGCUGACUAAAGCUGUUCUUGGCCUGUCAUACUUUCUCCUUCCUAGGAAAUUGCUGAUGGUUCAAGUAAAGACUCUGAAGCAGUCUCAGGGUUAUACUACUUGGUAGUAAAAGUCAAGUCUUCAUUAUCUAGUUUACGGCAUGAAUCAACACACAGAUCUUUGAAAUACUUAAUGCAGAUUCGUCAGAACUCCCUGAAUCUUCUACACUUGCUCCUCCUUUUUUCAAACUUGCAUUCUUAGAUGCUUCUGGAUCGUCAUUUUGAAGACCAUUUUCAAGUAUCUUUUUUUAUGUUGCAAAAUUUGUUGUUGAAUGCUAGUCAAAGCACCAGAAAUUGCAUAAUUGUUUGCUGUCUGUACAUACAUAUUUUGAAUAAAGACAGUAAUAUUUUGUUGAAGAAUGCCGACUAUACCUAAUGAGCCAUAAUGUACAGCAGGCAUGAGGACUGUUCCUCCCAACCUAUCAACAGCAUGUACAUUUGCUUGUCACCAAAAAUUCCAGCAUUUGCUGUCUUUUGCAAACUGCAGCAAGUAAACGUGGUGUGUUUCCAUCAUUGUUCAGCACUUCAAUAUCCAUAUCACGGGAAAGUAGUUUUUCUACCAGGAAUGUACUCUCAUUAUAGGACAGCACAGUGGAGAGCAGUGUUGCCGUAGAUAUCCACGUUCCGGCAGAAUGAUGCCACAAAUCUCUUCCUGGCGAUGUACAACCUUCUCAAAGACGUCCCAUUUUGUUUGUCACCAAUGUCAAUGUGGUAUUUUCAGUUCACCAGGAGAGUCCCCACUUCCACAUGGCCAUUGGCACAGGCCAAAUGUACAGCAGCCCUGUCCAUCCACAGCUGAAGGGAUAAAGAAACUGCCAUACAGAUACACACAGAAUAUGCUUCAGUCAUAAAGCUUUAGGAAAUCCUGUCAUCCACAGCCACAUGGAGAAACCCAGAGGACAUUAGGUCCAAGAAAAUGAGCCUGGUGGAGAAAGUCCCACACUGCAUGAUCUCAGGCAUGUGGACUCCUAAAAGCUUUAUCUACUGCCCGUCCACAGAUGAAGGGAUCAAGAAACUCUAAUAUAUAUUCACAAAGAGAUAGUCUUUGGCCAUCAAGAUAAUUAAAGGAUGUCAUCUGGAGGAACACAGACGGCCCGCCGAGGCUGCAGCUGCCUUGUCCUGCACUGUGGAUGGAAGCCACUGUUCUGACAAGAGGCUGAGCUUAGGUGGUAAUGCUUGCUACUGCUGUGCAACCAGGUUCCUGACAGGCCCGGGACGAUACUGGUCCAGGGGUGGGGGACCCCUGCUCCAGAUGACAGCCAGAGUAGUCUUAAAUGACCUUGUGCUGUGCACGAAGGUGGUAUGCAAUCAGAAGACGUCUGAGGAGACAAGUAUGCGUCUCCCACCACAACAUUAUGUGAUGCUUGGAGUAAAAACAGUCAUCCCUGUUCCUACCUACAAUUGUAUUAUUCAAUAAAGAUUGCUGCCAGACAUGGUGGCUCAUACCUGUAGUCCUACCAUUUUGGGAGGCCGAGGCCGGGCAGAUCGCUUGAGACCAGGAUUUGAGACUAGCCUGGACAACAUGGUGAGCCCCCAUCUCUGCAGAAAUAAAAUAAAAUAAAAUUAGCCAGGUGUGGUGGCCUGUGCCUAUAGCCUCAGUUACUUGGGAGGCUGAGGCAGGAGAAUAGCUUGAGCCCUGGAGGUCCAGGCAACAGUGAGCCAUGAUGGCAGCACUGCACUCCAAAUUGGGUGACAGAGUGAGACCCUGUCAAAAAAAAAAAAAAAA
ensembl:lncRNA